rnacentral:rRNA from 1 species
GUGCCAGCCGCCGGGUAAUACCGGCAGCCCGAGUGAUGGCCGAUUUUAUUGGGCCUAAAGCGUCCGUAGCUGGCCGCGCAAGUCCAUCGGGAAAUCCACCUGCUCAACAGGUGGGCGCCCGGUGGAAACUGUGCGGCUUGGGGCCGGAGGACCCGAGGGGUACGUCCGGGGUAGGAGUGAAAUCCCGUAAUCCUGGACGGACCGCCGGUGGCGAAAGCGCCUCGGGAAGACGGACCCGACAGUGAGGGACGAAAGCUGGGAUCUCGAGCCGGAUUAGAUACCCCGGUAGUCC